UGGGGAAUUUUGGACAAUGGGCGAAAGCCUGAUCCAGCAAUGCCGCGUGUGUGAAGAAGGCCUUCGGGUUGUAAAGCACUUUUGUCCGGAAAGAAAUCCUUGGCUCUAAUACAGUCGGGGGAUGACGGUACCGGAAGAAUAAGCACCGGCUAACUACGUGCCAGCAGCCGCGGUAAUACGUAGGGUGCAAGCGUUAAUCGGAAUUACUGGGCGUAAAGCGUGCGCAGGCGGUUUGCUAAGACCGAUGUGAAAUCCCCGGGCUCAACCUGGGAACUGCAUUGGUGACUGGCAGGCUAGAGUGUGGCAGAGGGGGGUAGAAUUCCACGUGUAGCAGUGAAAUGCGUAGAGAUGUGGAGGAAUACCGAUGGCGAAGGCAGCCCCCUGGGCCAAUACUGACGCUCAUGCACGAAAGCGUGGGGAGCAAACAGGAUUAGAUACCCUGGUAGUCCACGCCCUAAACGAUGUCAACUAGUUGUUGGGGAUUCAUUUCCUUAGUAACGUAGCUAACGCGUGAAGUUGACCGCCUGGGGAGUACGGUCGCAAGAUUAAAACUUAAAUGAAUUG
rnacentral:rRNA from 1 species